GUGAAACACCGGUUCCCGUAGGAUCACCGAAGUUAAGCAACGUCGGGCCUAUUCAGUACCUAGAUGGGUGACUUCUUGGGAAUACCAGGCAUUGUAU